ACACGCUUCCCCACUGAGGGAAGACCAUGUGACUAUACAACAGGAAGGUAGUUGUUUACAAGCCAGGAAGAGAGCCCUCACCAGAAACCAAAUUGGCUGGCGCCUUGAUCAUGGACUCCUGGGCUCCGGAACUGUAAGAAAAUUUGUGUUGUGGAAGCCACCCAGCCCAUGGUAUUUCGUUAUGGCAGCCUGAGCAGAGGUGGUAGCUAUGUGGACAGUUUUUGGACUUCUCUAUUAUGAGAAAACAGAAGCAAAGGCAGAAAGAUGCUACAUUGCCAGCUUUGAAGAUGGAGGGAAGAGGUCACAAACCAAGGAAGGUGAGUGGUGCCUAGAAGUUGGAAAAGACAUGGAAACACAUUCUUCUGUAAAGCACUUAGAAAGAAAUACAGUCUUCCAAAAUGUUGAUCUUAGCCAGGCAAUGAGGACGUUGCACAAGACAGUCCCUGAUACCCAGAGUUUACUGCCUAAGAGAGGAUACAUCCUUCAAACCAAUAAUCUGCUAAUAGCAAGAUCCAAUAGCUUCAUGGAUAUUGAAAGAAACUGAGAAUCAAAUUUGCAUACUUCUGAGUCACUUGGAAACAAAAAACAAGUACAGUCUUAGAUUCUGAGGGAACAAAAAUUAAAAAUCACAUUAGGAAGAGAAUUCCUAAUGUAGGAACUCAUCCUGGAAGAUUCUUCAGCAAAAGUACAGACAAUAAUAAUAAUACUCCAUGAAGUUACCAUCGAUAUUGAAUGAAUUAAUGAAUGUAAAAACCUCAAAACCCUGCCUGGCCCAGAGCUUUGGAAUGGGUUUGGAUCUACCACUCAACUGCUUUAUGACUUCAGACCAGUUAUUUAAAUUCCCUGAAGCUCAGUUUCCACAUCUUUGAGUUUUUAUUAAUGACCUGCCGACAUCAUACAGUUCAUGAAAUGCUCUGGAUGUGUACAUGCUGAUGAUACGACCUCAGACCCAGCAAGAGCUCAGUGCAGCCCGGAGAGCUGUGAGCAGUGCCACAGGAGGAGAUGACUGGUGAGUGAAAUAAGCAAGAUAGGAGUUGAAGUGUACAUGAAGCAGAGUCCAAGCCUUCUCCUUCUGGAUGUUCAGCUGGAUCAUCCUGACUGCUCCCACUUUCAUCUUGGCUUUCAAAGGCAAGAGGAAAUUAUAAGGAAUAUUCUGAGUGGCUUUCAUCCAGGAGUUCUGUGGGACCCGCAACACCUGGAUGGUAGAUGCAAACAGAUAAAGAAUAUUGGUCACCAAAAGGAGUUCUUUUCAUCAUAGAUCUCUGAAGGUAGACACCUAUUUGCAGACUUCUCAAAGGGCUAUAUGGAUGUGCUCUACUUGUUGGAGGAUUGUCCAUCCACUCUUCUUCCUGUACUUACCAGGACAGAACAGCCGCAACUUCUCAGACAGUUCAUUCUUCUUUUCCUCACCUACUACCAUCUAAGAAAGGUACUUGAUGACUGUGGCUUUAGACAAGAGUCCUUUUCUUACCACAGGGUGGGCAGCACCAGCUCAUUAGAACCAUUUGUGUGACUGACUGAAGACAGCUCACCUUGGAACACUGCAGGCCUCCAAAGAAGUCUACAAAUUCCAUCAGUCAGUAACGGCUUGGAGUUCCAAAGCUUAUGACUCAAAGGAUACAUGGCUUCUGAUGGCCCUGCUGGGGAGACCAUGUGGAGAGAUGGCAUAGAGCCAGAGAUUCACGUUCCAGGAGCCCUGACUGUCUCAUCUCAGGGAAUUGAAUCUCCUUGUGCUCCAGACCCUAUGAGAGGAUGCCAUCCCCUGCUACCAUCUGACUGCAACCUCAGGAGACACCCCAAGCCAGAACUGAGCAGCCAAGCCACUCUCAUAUUCUUGACCCAUAGACAUUGGGAGAUAAAAACUGAUUGUUGUCAAUUUUAGUCAGUACAUUUUAGGGCAAUUUGAUGUCCUAGCAAUAGACUAGUAUAUUUAUCCAUUGCUGCAUCUUCUUCUGCUUAGAUUAUGAUGCAUGUUUUUUAGCUCCAACUAGUAUCUAAACUUGUCAUGGUCUUUGCUUGAAAGUUUGAUUUUUUGCUGCCCUUGAACUUUACCCCUGAUUCCAAUUUACCCAUUUGUUUUGGUUUAGUUUAAGGAGAUUGUAAACAAGUAUGCCUACAAGGGCCAUGCAACAAAUGCUAAAAAGAGAAGUAGACCUGGGCAGGGAGGCAAGGGAGCGGAAAGAUGUGUAGUACGUUCAGCUCAGGUCACGUUCAUCAUCCAGCUCUGGAAGAUGGAUCCAGUGGGCAUGUGUGCCUAAUGAUGCCACAUUAUCUGAUUUUUUUCUCCAAAAGAAAAAUCAAGAUUUUUAUUAAAAAUCUUCUGGUUUAAAAAAAUUUAAAUGCUAUUCAAAUUUCAAUAACAACCAUGCCAGAUAAAAAAUAGCUACUGACUGAACUUAGCCAUGAUCUGCCAACUUGCAACCUCCAAAUUAGAAGUUUUUAGCCACUAUGGAUGUUAGGAAGACCUGAAACACAGAAUAGAGAGAUUCCAAUUUUUCUAGUGACAAUGAGUCCUGAGAAAGGUGACAAAAUCAGAAUAACCUUUGGAGAAAGAUAAAUGCUACUAUCAGUGGAAUGGGAUUCAGUCUUCAGCCUGUUGUAGUAAUUCAGUAAGCACAUGUGGUCAUUGAGUGAACUCGCAUGGCCAAUACAAGGUAAGCUUGGCGGUUCCUUCUAUGUCAAACGUUCUAUUUAAAUAGAGAGAAAAGAGGAGUAAUAAUUGUUAAAACCCUUUUGCAGUUUUAAAAAGGCAUAUAAAUAGUAAAGGACCAGUUACCUUGCUUGAGAAAUUUGUACAGUACCUAGUUGUUCCUGAAAGAGUGUACUGACAGGAGCUGAAAAGCCUACCUGGAAGAGAAUAUGGUCCCAAAUUCCAAAGGCAGAAAGGAACACAGGUUAAAUAGAAGGAGCAGUAACAACCCAGACCAGAGAAGCCAGGCAAAGCCUUGGAGACUAGGUAUACAUAGGAGAUAGCAGUUCUCAAUUCCCAUUCCCUUUGUGCCAAGCACAGGCACCGUGAUCCUUCACUGAAGCUCAGUGAACACUGUUCUCAGAGAGAGGUCCUGUCAGCAUCCACCUACCGAACCAUCAAAUGUGUAUCUGUCUCAGUUCUGCUUGGGAGCCUGAUACAGAUCUUUCCAUCACUCAUGAAGGCCCUAGAAUGCAUCCUCUUUUUUUUUUUUUCCUUCUGGAAAAUAUCAACCAGUUUUGGUAGAUUUUACCUUUCCAUUCUCUGUGUCCCUCCAUUAUUUUGGUCAACUCACCUCUGAAAACAGCAAAGCCUCUCAGGUCUACCGUGGGACACGCAGAAUUACAAGCUGAGCUACCCUCUGGGAUGGAAGCAGGGGUCUGGGAGGGUGGCACUAACGCUUAAUAUUAUUGAGUUAAAAUCUCAAUAAAUUAUCCCAGUAAAUCAUACAAUCAGAAAGACAAAGUCCUUGCCAAUAAAUAUGCACAACUCUCUGCCUAGAGACAAACCCACCUUGAGUUCACUCACGCAACCCAAUACCCAUAAACUACUCUCCAUAAAGCAAUGGAAAAGAGGAGCUGAGGUUAACAAAGUUCUUUCAGCCUACCCACGUAGGCUGACAUUUAUCUGCAUGCAUAGAACUCACAACAUUUAUUGUAGCAGAGUACAUAUUUCAGAAAACUGAUUUUGCUUUUUCCUAUAGCUGAUAACCUGGAAAAUACAGUCAUCUGUACUCUGUCUCCCAGGCGAUAGUGCAAAUCAGUAAAGAGUUUCCAUUGAUGGUUCUUUUGCAGACUCUAACCACAAUUGAACUCUCUGCUUUCCAUCAGUCGCCCACCCUGUUGUGUACAAAGAAGCAGAUAUGCAAUAUAGCAGGAGCCCCAAGAAAAGGUCUGGCUGUUCUGUCAAAACUAUUUAGUUCAAUAUUGUUCUCAAUGUGGCACCAUAGCCCUGGACAUGACACCCAGCACGUCCAAACAGACAUGAUUAUAUAUGAGACAGAAAGGCACUUACAUCACUGCGGGUUGUUAUGCUUUAAAGGGCUUUUUCCCCCCUCUUCAAAUUAAAAGUUUUCAAAAAUGAAAUAAAAAUAAACCUUUGAAGAAACCAGAUUGAGACUGAAUUUGGAAGGCCCUCCUGCCUAGUGUAUACUAAAGAAACAUUUUCUGGGUUUGUCCCUGAUGAUUUUCCUUGUAGUUGAGAAACACAAUCCACUGGAAGCUUUUGUGGCAGAACAAGAAUUUUAUGAACACGAACUUUACAAAGACUUCCCUAGGAGAUUUAAGGUCUGGAAAUCAAUAGAUCAAUCAGCAGCUUUUAUCAAUCUAUAAUGGUUCUCUCUCUUUGGAUGUUUGGAUGAAAAUGGGAUCAACGUAAAUUGAACAUGGAAUCACUUAUUCUUACAAGUUAAAUUUGUCAAACUGUAAGGCACAUAAAUGACAUGAAAUGUAAUCAUUUUUGAAUUUGGGACCCUACAGGGUGCACGUUGAUUGAAGAAAAAACAAGCAGAUGUUGCUUCAGCAUAACUCAUAGAGGCAAUCUAAAUGUUCUUCAAUCCCUGACACUUCUGAUCGUUUCCCAAAUAAACCAGUUCAUUAGUUAA
rnacentral:lncRNA from 1 species